GAGAGAUGGCCGAGUGGUUUAAGGCGCUGGUCUUGAAAACCAGUAUAAUUUUACGAUUAUCGUGGGUUCGAAUCCCACUCUCUCC
rnacentral:tRNA from 1 species